rnacentral:lncRNA from 1 species
AACAAUGUUCAUCAUCUCACGUGAAAUGUGACCCAAAAGACAAUCAGACUAGUUAUAUUAAUUGAGAGUGUAUCAAGUUUUAAACAUCAUAUUUCAUUUCACACAUAUUUUUUUGUCUGUCACUUUAUCUUUAUUUUUCUUGCAUAUACAUAUCUCAAAUAAUAAAGAAAACUAUUUUGUUGACCCAUUAUCGCCAAAUUAUUUUCCUAAAAUAGAAAGUGUGACACUCCAGAUUAACAAGGGCAAGGGAGUGGUUACUAGUACAAGAGACAUGGUCAUGAAGCGAGUUCUUACAGGCUUAUAGAUGUUUGGUCUCUUAUUUGGAUGAUUGGAAUUUGGAUAAUUUGAACUAACAUGAACUAAUUAUUUUCAAUAGGGAAACUGUUUCGGAGGAUAUUAUGGAUGAGAUAAAAUUCAAGUCUUGGAUCUAGAUCAAAGAAAGACAUAAACAUGCUAAUAUGUUUUGGUUUGAAUGAACUUCUCAUUCAGUUCUAAGCUUACACUGUUGUUUUAGAUGACUUUAAUUAGUUCUUUCUUGGUUUUGUGGAUUGUCUUGUGUUGUUGCAUGUGACUUGUUUUGUUUUUGUUGGGUACGCUAGGAG